UAUUGGUCAAUAGCCUAACGGCUGAACCAGCAACUUGGAGGAAUGUAUAGGGAAAACUGGUAAAAUGUGAUGUACCUAGUAAUAUUAGUAAUUAAUAUGAGAUUAACUAAGUUAAUUAAAAUUCUAAGUAGGUAUGUGAUUAUGACAAUAUCUGCUGAGGUCUUGACCAAGUCACGUGCCAGCAGUCGCGGUAAUACGUGGAAGACGAGUGUUAUUCAUCUUAAUUGGGUUUAAAGGGUACCUAGACAGUUAAUUAAGCAAAUAUAUGAACUAAUUAACUAGAGUUUAAUGUAAGAAGGAUUGAGUACGGUGAGUGUAGAGAUAAAAUUUUUUGAUACCACUUAGGAACUGGUAAAGGCGAAGGCAACCUUCAAUGUAAAAACUGACGUUGAA
rnacentral:rRNA from 1 species